AGAAGGUAUUGUGAAAACUGCUUUGCUGUUGUGUGUUAUAAAUUCUCUGAAUAAUAUAUAAUGUACUCGAUAUAAAAAUGGCACUUUGGUUGUUUCAAUUAUGUAUUACCACCCAUGUAGUAGUUUACGUAAUUGUAAAUAACUUUACAAGUCUAAUGUGUAGUAAGAUGGAAAUUAUAGUUCAAAACGUCUGAAAAGGUGGAGUUACACUGGUCAAGAAGUGCCUCUUUCUGUUCUCAUUAGGUGCUCACUGGUAGCCUAAUUGCCAAGUUGACGUCUGUGUCAGACCAAUAUCUCUGUACUCACUUGGCCAUCUGCAUGCUGUAAUUGCAACGGCGUAUCGUACUAGUUUGUUGCAAUAGCAGUUUGCGUAUACUGUAUUAGAAAUAUUCUAGCACAGUAAACGACAGACUACUAUGCCUUACCGUCGACAUCCAUAUUUGUACUGUACUUGUGUGAUUAGUAUCUCUGCAAGCA